UCUGAACUCAGGAAAGAAUUUGAUGAGCAUAGAGCUCACAAAUACGCUUUUUACAGUUUCCACCCAGGGAAAGCAAAGGCUGAACAACCAUGGCUUUCAAGACCGAGGAAGACAGUGUGGUGCAGAACUCCCCAGGCCAGCAUUAAUCUGCAAUGCUUCGCUCACAUCCUAUGGCUCAGUGACACCAGUGUCUUCAUCAAGCCCCAGGACAUUUCCGGGCAUACCAAAUCAGUUCACUGACCAGCAUCACUUCAAGUUUUGCCAGCUAUUUUUCAUCCAGAAUCUGCAUAAUCAUAAUCAUGCUGCUGUCAUCGUGCUUCGAAGACAUUGGUGCUAAGAGAAUGCCUUCUCCAGUCUCUUAGCAGCUAAGCCUAUAGCACAUCAUCAUCUCCUCUCCUGGACCCUAAACAAAGACCCUAUUUUAUUAUAUGACCUCCUGUUUUUUUUUCAUCUAAACUCUUUGGUCCACAUUUUGAGCAAUAUUACUGUAGAUCCCAUGGAAUGUUUGAAUACCGCAAUGUUCAAGUUCUCUUUUCAUGGCAUUGCUUCCCUAUGAAUACUGCAAGUAUAGCAGGGAAAAGAAUUACUUGUCCAUGGGCCACCUUGAGAAACAACAUUAGCCUGCAAAUAAAUGACGUGAAACUCAA